UGGCUCAGGAUGAACGCUAGCGGCAGGCUUAACACAUGCAAGUCGAGGGGUAGAAGUCUUCGGACUUUGAGACCGGCGCACGGGUGCGUAACGCGUAUGCAAUCUACCUUUUACAGAGGGAUAGCCCAGAGAAAUUUGGAUUAAUACCUCAUAGUAUAAUGACUCGGCAUCGAGAUAUUAUUAAAGUCACAACGGUAAAAGAUGAGCAUGCGUCCCAUUAGCUAGUUGGUAAGGUAACGGCUUACCAAGGCUACGAUGGGUAGGGGUCCUGAGAGGGAGAUCCCCCACACUGGUACUGAGACACGGACCAGACUCCUACGGGAGGCAGCAGUGAGGAAUAUUGGACAAUGGGCGCAAGCCUGAUCCAGCCAUGCCGCGUGCAGGAUGACGGUCCUAUGGAUUGUAAACUGCUUUUAUACGAGAAGAAACACUC
rnacentral:rRNA from 1 species